UGGGAUUAGAUACCCCACUAUGCUCAACCGUAAACUCUUACCUACACUUAAAUCGCCAGGGAACUACGAGCCAAGCUUAAAACCCAAAGGACUUGACGGUACCCCAUAUCCCCCUAGAGGAGCCUGUCCUAUAAUCGAUAACCCCCGUUUAACCUCACCAUUUUUAGUUAUCAGCCUGUAUACCUCCGUCGCCAGCUUACCACGUGAGCGUUAAUAGUGAGCCAAAUGAAACUUCACCAACACGUCAGGUCAAGGUGCAGCAUAUAAAAUGGAAAGAGAUGGGCUACACUCUCUAUAUUAGAAGACACGAAUAACAAUAUGAAAUUCAGUUAAAAGGCGGAUUUAGCAGUAAAAAAGAAUCAGCAUGUCUUUUUUAAUCCAGCACUGGGGUGUGUACACACCGCCCGGUCAC
rnacentral:rRNA from 1 species